AAUAAGUGGUAGAAUUAACUAGGUUGAGCUCAUUAGUACUCGAGUAAUUAAGUCUGAGGGGACUUUGUGCCUAACAACCUAAAGCCCUUCGUGGUUUGGGAUUGUUGACCCAACGCUCGCUACAUGGGUACUAGUGCAUAAAUCUUUAGGGAUCUCAACCAUUGCACAGUUAAAUAAACCACUAGAAUAGAGUGAAUGAUUGGUGUGUGAAGUCUUGUGGUGUUCGUAACGCAUUUACACUGCGAAGCGCUCUGACCUUAGACCGAGCAAUUAAUCACCAUUAAAAAGGAAAAAAUAAAAAGAAAAAAAUAUAUAGUGAAUAAAAUAGAAGGGUGUGGACAUUCUUUGGGACCUUGGCUUUUAGUUGGACUUGAGUGACGGGGUGUUAGUUUUAUACUUUUACGAUUCUUGAUUGGGAUUCUGUGGGAGUAGUAGUUUUUGUCUUGUCUCAAUAUAAGAGCAUGCUUGCACACAUUGGCACUCCACACUUGUAAAUGGAAGAGUAAUUGACUUGGUAGCGAGAGAAGUGAAAUUCGAGAACAUUAGCACAAUCUGAGGUAUUAUAAUUGGCAAGGCAAUUACUUCAUAGUUUACUCAUUCAUCACGUAGUUGCAUUCAUGCAUUGCAUUGUAUUAUUGUAUAGUGUCGUUGACGCUUGAGGACAAGCAUCAGUUUAAGUUUGAGG
rnacentral:lncRNA from 1 species